rnacentral:rRNA from 1 species
AUGAUCAGCCACACCGGAACUGGAACACGGUCCGGACUCCUACGGGAGGCAGCAGUGAGGAAUUUUGCGCAAUGGGGGAAACCCUGACGCAGCAACGCCGCGUGAGUGAUGAAGGCUUUCGGGUCGUAAAGCUCUGUCAGGUGGGAAGAACCCACCAAGUGUUAAGACCACUUGGUGCUGACGGUACCACCGAAGGAAGCACCGGCUAACUCCGUGCCAGCAGCCGCGGUAAUACGGGGGUGCGAGCGUUAUUCGGAAUCAUUGGGCGUAAAGGGCGCGCAGGCGGUUUUGUAAGUCAGAUGUGAAAUCCCGGGGCUUAACCCCGGAAGUGCAUAUGAAACUAUGAGACUUGAGUAUGGGAGAGGGAAGCGGAAAUUCCUGGUGUAAGCGGUGAAAUGCGUAGAUAUCAGGAGGAACACCGGUGGCGAAGGCGGCUUCCUGGACCAAUACUGACGCUGAGGCGCGAAGGCGUGGGGAGCGAACAGGAUUAGAUACCCUGGUAGUCCACGCAGUACACGUUGAUCACUUAGGUGUAGCGGGUAUUGACCCCCUCUUGUGCCGGAGUUAACGCAUUAAGUGAUCCGCCUGGGGAGUACGAUCGCAAGAUUAAAACUCAAAAGGAAUUGACGGGGGC